GCUUGUCUCAAAGAUUAAGCCAUGCAUGUCUUAGUGUAAAUAACUCUUAUGAAACUGCGAAUGGCUCAUUAAAUCAGUUAUCAAAUACGUGAUGGUCGCCUACUACAUGGAUAACCGUAGUAAUUCUAGAGCUAAUACAUGCACAAAGGCCCACUCACGUGGGUUGUGAUUAUUAGAUUCAAACCGGCCUCGUUCUAUUGAUGAAUCAUAAUAACUGUUCGAAUCGCACGGGCAACCGGCGAUAGUUCAUUCAAAUUUCUGCCCUAUCAGCUUUCGACGGUAGUGUAGUGGACUACCGUGGCGUUAACGGGUAACGGAGAAUUAGGGUUCGAUUCCGGAGAGGGAGCCUGAGAAACGGCUACCACAUCUAAGGAAGGCAGCAGG
rnacentral:rRNA from 1 species